AUUUGCUUAGCACAGAAAGGGACAAACACGUGGUGGAUCAGGACAUCCUAGGAUAGGGCUUGGUAAGCACCCAGGUUGUUAAUAUAAAUUGAUUUAUAGCUUCAUUUUGUUUCUGAAGAAACCAAUUGAAAAAUAAUUCACUGUUCACAAUUGCAAUCCCUAUAACCGAGAGCCUGAGGCAGGAGGAUUUGGGGUUUGGGUGCCUGGGCUAAAUAUCGAUCUCUAUCCCUAAAGAGUAAGAAGAGGGGAGGAGGAACUAACUUAGUUAACUGUUAACCUGCAGUUAAUGUGUGCAGUGUAGGACACUUCAUGGACCAGAAAGUUAAUGUUGAAAAGUAAGUCUGUUUCAUACUCUAUCAGUCUUUUUAACCUUCUAGCAUGAGUGGGGGAAGGUAACAGGAGCCCUCCCCCUUCAGCUGAGGAGCUGCAGACACAGUGAUGACUGCCAGGAGAGGGAAAGUCGGUUUUCUCCAGGAGUGCAUCCUUGAACACUUGGAGUACCUCAGAAAGGGAAUAGGAGCACACACAGGCAAUCUCAGACACUCCGCCUGAGGCCCAAGGUUGACAGACUGAAGGACAGCCUGUGCUACGUAGAGGUUGCUGACCAGCCAGGGCUACAAAGCAAAACUGCCUCUGUGCUCCACCUUGGAGGGGGAAAAAAAGAACAGAAAGUAAAGAGAAGAGGGGGGAAGAAUGGGAAAAGCCCAGAGGGCUUCCCUCAAGCUCCACCAUGGCCGUCCUCUCCAGAGGUCACCACAUUCCUACUUCUGUCAUUUGUUGUCUGCUUCUAUUCAGUUUUUACGUCUAUUACAUAGUGGAGCUGGUGCCCCAAGUAUGUCACUGACUACAUCCCCAAGUCUGAGGAUUGGAUAACUAUGUAAUAAACUUUCUUCUCUUUAUUGUUUUUAUUGAA